ensembl:lncRNA
GGGUGUGUUACUGUAUUACGUGUCUGGCCUUGUCUGGUCAGCUGGAGCUGUGUGUGUGUGAAAGUGAGAGUGUGUGUGCAGGCGAAGUCGGUGGUCAGCACUUCGGCUGAACUGAGACAAAGGCCUUGUUGUGUGACUGUCAGCCUCUCAGCAACUGGUGCAUCUGUCGUGAGGGGACAGGUGGCGGGAUUUAAAUGCCUGUGCAGUUGACAAGUUGCGAUUCCACAAUUAUUUCAAUUCGUCCCACAUUUCAAACAGUAUAGCUUGUUUUCUAAAGCUCAGAAAAACUCAUUAUUGUUUGUGUCAAAAUUUCUCAUUGUUGGUUAUUUUUUUGUACUUAUCUCUCUUUUUUGUGUUGUGCUUUUGGGGUGUAAAGUUAUACGAUGAAUCAAAGCUUUUGAGAUUGGGCUAGCAGCUGUUGUCUUUGCUCAAACUUCAGACCACAAGCAAGUGUGUAAAGGGAUACUUUGGUCCUUCCCUGAAGAAAAACACAUUGCGUGCUGCAUGUUGUCGAGCCAGUGGAGAUGUUUGACCAACAGCCCAUAAAACCAACAGUGUUAAUGCCUUCACAAUGCCAACACAUUCUCAGCAUUAAUCUUCAUAUCCAAAUAACUAACAAAUGUUGAGCAAUAAAUUUAAUUGUUGAAUUCAAAAUAUGCAAAAUACAUCAAAUUCCCUCCAGAAACAAAAGGUUCAAGAAAAAUAUUUGAAUGGUUCUUUAGAUUGCCUUAUCGGCAGAAGUGCUUCCAGGAACGUGGAUGCAAAGAUUCUUGAAACAUGAAUGUUCCUUAAAGAAGCCUCAAAGAUUUCAAUCUUCAUGAGGACAGAUGAACAGAUAUCACAGGAACACGUCUACCGCUCUCACUUCUUCAUAUGGGAUGUACCAACGGCCCGCCAUGUUUACCUUGACCAGAAAUCACAUUGGUGAUGAGGUACAUGACAGUCUGGUGAUUUGUGUCUAACCAAUAAGGAUUAAAACUAUUGUCUGAUAUAUGUAUAUACUUUCGCCUUUUU